AGCAUGUUUUUUUUCCGUUACACUUUUUGUCACGUGCUUUAAACAAAAAAUACUUUGCGUCAUUUAGGAUUCCGUACUAUAAAGGGUGUAACACUGCAGAUUAGCGAAUACUGUUUUUAAGUUCAGUUAGAUACAUGUCAAUUAAUAGAGCUGUGUGUUUCUGUUGUAUUUACUUGGAGGGUUAUGAUAAACGGUAUACGGAUCUAUACUUGUCUACAACACAAAUUGUGUAUAUUACAAUUCUUAAAAAGGUUGGAUGAAUUAAUGUACAUAUUUCAAUUUGAUUAUUCUACAAUACAUGUGUUUGCCCAAUCUAAUUGCAAUCCAAUGGAAAGAUUUAAUUAACAACAGACCAGGUACGUGUGCAUAUUUUAUACAUGAUUUAGUCUUCUAUCAAAACAGAAGUCGAAAUUUGUAAAUGUGAAUCCCCCCCCCAGAAAAAAAAGCCUAAGGUGUAAAGGGUAGUGUAAAGGAUUGGGUAAAGGAAACGGUGCCAUCCUUCGCACGUUAUGUAAAGGGCCAAAUGAUGUAAAGCUCAUAUUUCAGUGAUGGUUACUGGGGGUUUUAUAUGUAAGGGACAACGACCAACCUGCAUUAUUUCCUUAAUAUAGGUACCUAUUAGAUUUGGGUAAACUUAGAGACUUGAACUGGAGACCAAUCGAUUUAAAAUGCUAGUCGUCAUACCACUCGGCCAUCACGCCCUGUUGUGGACUAUACCUAAUUUGAAAACAUUUAUUGCUAAGAACGUACCCGUCGAAACUUAGCAGG
rnacentral:sRNA from 1 species